rnacentral:lncRNA from 1 species
UCAAGAUAAAUAAAUAAAGAUAUAUUCCGCUAUCAAUCUAUCGUCAAAUUCAAUGCCCCACAAAUAUUAAAAUUAAGCAUUACCUUAUCUCUAUACUAAAGAUCAAUGACAGAAACGACUUUUGGAUUGCUCAAUUAUCUUAUCUCUUACCAAAUGAAAGCCACAUUAAAUAUCCAAGUAGAACGCAAUAUGCUUUGCACCUAUAUAAUCCCCGAAAGCCCAGAAGUAGCAUGCUCCAUGAUUCAUGCUACAUGCUACUAAACCCCACUAAGGCACCAAAUUAGCCUUCUAUUCUUUAGGCGGUCUGCUUCAUGCUGAUUUUCCAUACCAUAAAUUACGUUUUCUCUUCCUCCUUUUAAUGGAAUAAUCAUUCUGCCCUUAUUCUACACUUUAACAGUGUUUCAUUAGUUUGUUUAACUUAGUAUUUAUUUGUUGGAAUCACCAAUUCCUUUUUGUUAAGGGAAUUUCUGAAUUCUUCCACAAAAGUUUUUGAAUAUCUAUAUUGAAUAAAGUCGGGAGAAAAAACUCUCAUUGAUGUUCAAUAUCGAUCUUUAUUGAAAAUUCAGUCAUCUAUCAGACCACAUUUUGAAAACUUACUUUCGAGAGAGCUAGAAAUUCCCUCAAACACUUUUCUAUUCCUUAAACGGCUGUGAUAGUCAUCUCAAUUCCACCCACAGCAGUAACACACCAAAAACAUGACCAUGUCUACGUCUUUCGACCAACCUUUGAGGUCAUCCGCCUCUGCAAAUAAAACGGUGAUUAGUUCGCCGGUGACAAAAAUCAACAAAAAUAAGAAUUCGUAAAACACAACAGUAGACAGAAGAAUCCCAAAAUUCCCUCUAGUUUUUGGUUAGAGGGACUAAAGAUGGGGAACAACAAACUAAAGAUAUCAAUAGGUGAAUAUUCAAAGAGAGAAAGAGAGGAUGAGCGUCAGAAGGAUGGACGAAGAGAGAAAGUGAGGUGAGAAACUUUUUUGCUUGGAUUAGGUUAAAGUUAAAAUACUAUUUAAUAAAUUAUUAAACAUAAAAUAAAAUGUUUUAAAAAUCAAUUUUGCUAAAAUAUUUUACUUUUUUUUUCUUACUUUUAAUAUGUUAAAAUAUUUUAUACGUAAUGGUGUGUUUAAUAAAUCAUUGAAAAUUUUUGUUUUAUUGAGAAUGAAUUUUCAACCUUUAAUAUUUUAGUUUUAGAUGUGUUUAAUAAUUAUUUUAAUUUUUUACUUAAUAUAAAAUUUCAAAAAAAUAUUGAAAUAAAUAUUUAUUUUAUUUUAUUUUAUUUUAUUCAAAAUUUAAAAUAAAUUAUCUUCUUUUUGUUGAAAAUGAGACAUUUAAAUUAUCGUAUUUAUUUUCAUCAAAAACUAUCUAAAAUAAUAUAAAAUAUUAUAUUAAUAAGAUUAAAAUUAAAAAUAAAUAUUUUUUUAAAAAAAUUAAUUUUUAUUAAAUGGAAGCUUAGUCUGUGAUUCAUAAGGUCGUAUGAGAUCAUCGAGAGAAUUGGGCCAGUAGCUUACCGUUUAGCUUUACCGUAUGAAUUAGAGAAAAUUCACAACGUGUUUCAUGUAUCAAUGUUACGGAGAUAUCGAUCUGACCCUUCACACAUAAUUUCGCCUGUUGAUGUAGAAAUUCUGGUAGAUAUGUCCUAUAGUGAAGAACCAAUUAGAAUUGUAGCUCGAGAAGUCAAAUAAUAAACGAAUAGCUCUGGUUAAAGUUUUCUAGCAUCGUCAUGGGGUCGAGGAAACUACCUGGGAACGAGAAGAAGCUAUGAAAGUGCAAUACCUAAACCUAUUUUCUGGUAAGAUUUUCAGGGACGAAAAUUCCUUUAGGGGGAGAGUUGUAAUGACCCAUUUAUAGUGGUGUUAAAAGCAAUGGUCUCGGGACCACGAUUUCGACAAGAGAGUAAAUAUUUUAUUAAUUAUUUAAAGCUUACGAGUGUUUAUUAAGGUAUUAUUAAAUUUUUGUUAAGAAAUUUUGAAGUUUAAACUAUUAAUUAGGUAAAAAAGAACUAAAUUGAAAAAGGUGCAAAAGUCUUCUUCUGUUAGUUAAGUGGAUUAAAUAGCUUUAACAAGGUGAGUUAAUGGACUUAUUUAGUAAUUAUGUUGUAUAUGUUUAUAGUGGACAAAUAUGGACAUGUUUAUGCUAGUAUUUAAGUUAUAUUAUCAGGGCAAAAGAGUAAUUAAUCAAAUAAUCAUGAAAUAAAUAAAACAAAAGCUGUCAUGUUCUUUCUCUUUUUCUUGUUUAACUAUAAACACCAUUGAAGGGGGGAGAAAAGCUUCAUUUUUCUUAAUUCACUUGCAUGGUAUGUAUUCAAGUCCCGUUUUUAGUAAUUUUUAUAUUUUUGAGCUUUUUUUAGCUUAAACUACUUAGCUCGAGGAUUAAUUUGCAAAGCUGUUAAAGGUUAAAGGAAAUGUUAGGAAUGAAAUUGAUGAAUUUGUGAUGUUAAUUGAUAGGUUAUUACAUUUGGUUGUUAAAUAAAUUUAUUUUGUUAAGUGAUUUUUUUAUAAAUUUAGUGUUAAAGAUUAAUUUGCUAAAAGUGUAAAAUUCCUUGAAAUUAUUUUGGGUAAAUAUGGGCUGAUUAGGUACUCUAGAAGAAUCAGUUAACACAUGUUGUCUAUGAAAAUAGUGAAUUUGCAAGUUAUGGUUAUAAUGACUAAGUUGUAAAAAAAUUAAAAUAGGAGGGGUAAUUUUGUAAUCUCAUGAUAAUAUGAAUUAUAGAUUGAAUUGAAUAUUUGAGGUUAUUUGAAGUACUUAAUUGAAUGAAGGUAUCUAUUUAGAUCAAAAGAAACCACAACUGGAUUUAAAUCGAGAAAACGCAAAAGCUUUGGAUUAGUCUCCAACUCUACCUUUGCGACUAUAGUUACCAACGCAAGUUCGUAUGAAUAUAAUUUUAUUAAUGAUAUUUUAAUUGAUUAUUUGUUAUAUUAUAUUAGUUAUAAAUUGACUUGAAUAUAUAAAUAUAUUGACAUUUUGAAUAAUUGACGGAUAAAUAAUCCCGUUUGAACCUUAAGAAUUCGUAGGAUUUGAAUGACAUGUCAUUAAGAAUUUCAUGUUUCGGGUACUGGUCUUGAAUGUACUACCAAUGACUAAGGUCCUGCAUUUGUUGUGAAUUCUCCACAGCUCGUGUGAGCAGUAUCAUGUAGCUAAAAUUCUGACCCACAGCUGGUGUGAGCAGGCCCAUUUCACUGCUCGUGUGAGCACUAUUGAAAAUGAAAUGUUACGAUUAUAUGGAAAGGCACACUAUAUGUGAGCAUUCCCGAGUAUCCAAUAAAUUUCUAGAUGGUUCACAGGUAAGUAAAGGUUAAUGGCAAGGCAUGUAUUCAAAUGGAUAAUUAUUCAUAAUCUUAUAAAAGGUAAAUUUGAUGAAUGGUAUGUACAUGGAAAUUUACUUAUGAUAUGGUUGAACUUAUAUGUAUUAUGUAUUAACUUGCUAACUUGUGAGUUUGGUGGUGUAUAUAGGAGUUUAUUUAGCUUAUGAUCAUGGUAAUGAUGUUAUUCAUAUUUUAUAUAUUGAGCUUAAGAAGGGUAAGUUAUAUUUGAAUUUAUACGAGCUUACUAAGCACUAGUUGCUUACGUAGUUAUUUUCCUUUGUUUCGUAGAUUAUCGGAAGCUUGAUCGGCUGGAAGCUUGUCAGAGUUCUAUCAACACUAUCCAGUAAUCUCUUUGGUAGUUCUUGAGUUAUUUUGGCCAAGGUUAUAAAUGGUAUAUUGGUUAGGAGAAAUAGGUUGAUUGAAUUGGUAGAUUUAUAUGUGUUUGAAGUGUGUUUAGGUUUAUUGAAGGUAUGUACUAAUGAAGUAGAUUUUUGGGCAAGUUGUGGGCUUUAAAUGGCUUGUUUUUGGGGGUUUGGGUGCCGAUUUUGGAGGAAGAAUUAAGAGAAAAAAAUUAAAAUUUGGGAGAAGAAUGGAAGGGGUGAGGGCGGCACAAAAAGAAGAUUGAGUAGAGGGAAUGAUUGUUGAUGAAAUAAGUGUGAAAAAGGGGUGUAUUUAUAGGGAUGGUGGGGGUUUAAGAGAUAGCAACAAAAAUUUAAAAGACUUUUUCAAAAUUAAUUACUAAAAGAUAAUCAAAAUUAAAAAUAUUAAAAUAAUUUAUAUUUAUCAAUUAAAUAAAUAAAAUUAAUUCGACUCAAUAAUUAUCUCUAGCAAGAAAAUCCAAUUAAAAAGAUAUAAUUAAUUGAUAAUUAAAUUAAAUCAUUUGAAUAAAAAGAAAUUUCUUUGUGGUCCAAAAUUGACCAUUUAUUUUGCAAACUCCCAAAUGGGUUACUUAGAAAAUAUUUCUUAGAAAUUAUAACAAAAUUAAUUCCAAGGAAAUAUUGGAGGGGUCACAAUUUGGUCCCUCUUAAAAUCCAACCUUCUUGAUAGAAAUUUUUUCUAUUAUAUUUAUCUUCAAAAUAUUGUCUAAGUAGUUUAUUUUUAAAGAAAAAUUUAACACUUAUUGUUUGAUUAAACUUACUGAGAUUUUAUUGUGCUCAACUUUACUGUUUCCAUAGUGUUUAAGGCGCUGGCCAUUUACCUUGAAUAAUCCCCCUUUCUAUUGUGCAACUCUACAACUCCGUAUGGAUAGACUUGGUGAAUCAGGUAGGGCCUAGAGCAUCGAGAUUUAAGUUUUCAAGGGAACAAUUUCAUCCUAAAGUUAAACAACAAGGCUCUCUGGCCUGCUUUGAAUUCUCAAUACUAAAUGUGCUUGUCAUGACAUCAUUUUAUUUUCUCUUUCCAAAUCAUGGCAUUCUCUUACGAGAACAUUUUUGAUUCUUCCAAUUCAGCUAACUGAAGUUUUCGUUUGUCUCUAGCAAGAUUCAUGUUCAUUGAGUUGCUUUAGAGCCUAGUAAACUCUAUGUUCAAGCUCCAAAGGAAGAUGGUAGGUUUUUCCAAACACUAAACGGUAUGAAGAUAUCCCCAACAGAGUUUUAAAGGUCGUUCGAUAAGCCCAUAGCGCACCGUCGAGUUUCCUUGACCAAUUUUUUUGUUAGGUCUUACCACCUUUUCAAGAAUGUUCUUUAUUUCUUUAUUUUCCAACUCAGCUUGCCUAUUUUUCUAUGGAUGGUAAGUUGUAGCAAUAUUUUUCUUGACAUCAUAUUUGUCCAAUAAUCACUUAAGUCAUUUAUUCACAAAGUGGGGCCUUUAAUAACUUAUUAUGGCUCUUGAUGUUUCGAACCUUGUGAAUAUAUGCUUGUGUAGAAAGCGCAUAACUGCCCUGGUAUCGUUCGUUGGACAAGCUUUAGCCUCAACCCACUUUAACACGUAAUAAAUUGUC